AUUGAACGCUGGCGGCAUGCUUUACACAUGCAAGUCGAACGGCAGCGCGGGCUUCGGCCUGGCGGCGAGUGGCGUACGGGUGAGUAAUACAUCGGAACGUGCCCAGUAGUGGGGGAUAGCUCGGCGAAAGCCGGAUUAAUACCGCAUACGACCUGAGGGUGAAAGCGGGGGAUCUUCGGACCUCGCGCUAUUGGAGCGGCCGACGGCAGAUUAGCUAGUUGGUGGGGUAAAGGCCUACCAAGGCGACGAUCUGUAGCUGGUCUGAGAGGACGACCAGCCACACUGGGACUGAGACACGGCCCAGACUCCUACGGGAGGCAGCAGUGGGGAAUUUUGGACAAUGGGCGAAAGCCUGAUCCAGCAAUGCCGCGUGUGUGAUGAAGGCCUUCGGGUUGUAAAGCACUUUUGGCGGGAACGAAAAGGACUGUGCCAAUACCACGGUUCGAUGACGGUACCCGCAGAAUAAGCACCGGCUAACUACGUG
rnacentral:rRNA from 1 species